rnacentral:rRNA from 1 species
GACGAACGCUGGCGGCGUGCUUAACACAUGCAAGUCGAACGGAAAGGCCCUGAUUUUGUGGGGUGCUCGAGUGGCGAACGGGUGCGUAACACGUGAGUAACCUGCCCUAGACUUUGGGAUAACUUCAGGAAACUGGGGCUACUACCGGAUAGCAGCUCCUGCUGCAUGGUGGGGGUUGGAACGUCUCGGCGGUCGGGGAUGGAUUCGCGGCUUAUCAACUUGUUGGUUGGGUAGUGGCUUACCCAGGCUUUGACGGGUAGCCGGCCUGAGAGGGUGACCGGCGUCAUUGGGACUACGAUACGCCGCAGACUCCUACGGGAGGCAGCAGUGGCGAAUAUUGCACAAUGGGCGGGAGUCUGAUGCAGCGACGCCGCGGGCGGGAUGACGGCCUUCGGGUUGUAAACCGCUUUAGCCUGUGACGAAGCGGGAGUGACGGUAAUGGGUAAAGAAGCACCGGCUAACUACGUG